UACGAAGGGGGCUAGCGUUGCUCGGAAUCACUGGGCGUAAAGCGCACGUAGGCGGAUCUUUAAGUCAGGGGUGAAAUCCUGGAGCUCAACUCCAGAACUGCCUUUGAUACUGGGGAUCUCGAGUCCGGAAGAGGUGAGUGGAACUCCGAGUGUAGAGGUGAAAUGCGCAGAUAUCAGGAAGAACACCCGUGGCGAAGGCGGCUCUCUGGGACGGUACUGACGCUGAGACGCGAAAGCGUGGGGAGCAAACAGG
rnacentral:rRNA from 1 species